GGGGGCGCUUUGGGCUCCUCCUCCUCCUCUUCCGCGCCGGCGCUGAAGGCCGCGCGGUUCCAAACCCGAAAGCGAAAGCGUUUUCCACCCUAUAACGAAACCUCCGCCCCAUAAAACCCCACAGCGGCCACUUCUGCUUUUAGGGACGGCGCGGAGUCGGGGAGGAGAGGACUGCGCUUCACUUCCGGUCUCGUCGUGGUUGGCCGCCCUCCAUUUGGAUCAGUACAGCGCCACCUUCCGGCAGCACCGCUUCCGGACCGCUUCGGACUGCCGGACCAUAACGGAAGCGGACCUCACCCGCCUCGGCGUUCUCCUCCCCGCCCACCGCCGCCGGAUCCUAUUGAGCCUUCGCACUGCUUUUCCCCCCCAACCCCAUCCCGGCCCCAACAAACCCAUCCCCGCUCAGCGCCGCGUCUUUCGCUCCGCCCCCCCAAAUGACCCCCCGACACCCCCAAAUCCAUCCCCGACACCCCCAAAUCCCCCCCCGACACCCCCAAAUGACGCCCCGACA